rnacentral:rRNA from 1 species
CAGCCCUUGACAUGCCCGGCUACUUGCAGAGAUGCAAGGUUCCCUUCGGGGACCGGGACACAGGUGCUGCAUGGCUGUCGUCAGCUCGUGUCGUGAGAUGUUGGGUUAAGUCCCGCAACGAGCGCAACCCUCGCCCUUAGUUGUCAGCAUUUGGUUGGGCACUCUAAGGGGACUGCCGGUGAUAAGCCGAGAGGAAGGUGGGGAUGACGUCAAGUCCUCAUGGCCCUUACGGGCUGGGCUACACACGUGCUACAAUGGUGGUGACAGUGGGCAGCGAGGCCGCGAGGCCGAGCUAAUCUCCAAAAGCCAUCUCAGUUCGGAUUGCACUCCGCAACUCGAGUGCAUGAAGUUGGAAUCGCUAGUAAUCGCGGAUCAGCAUGCCGCGGUGAAUA